rnacentral:rRNA from 1 species
CCUACGGGAGGCAGCAGUGGGGAAUAUUGCACAAUGGGGGAAACCCUGAUGCAGCGACGCCGCGUGAGUGAAGAAGUAAUUCGUUAUGUAAAGCUCUAUCAGCAGGGAAGAAAAUGACGGUACCUGAGUCAGAAGCCCCGGCUAACUACGUGCCAGCAGCCGCGGUAAUACGUAGGGGGCAAGCGUUAUCCGGAUUUACUGGGUGUAAAGGGAGCGUAGACGGCAGUGCAAGUCUGGAGUGAAAGGCGGGGGCUCAACCCCCGGACUGCUCUGGAAACUGUACGGCUGGAGUGCAGGAGAGGUAAGUGGAAUUCCUAGUGUAGCGGUGAAAUGCGUAGAGAUUAGGAGGAACACCAGUGGCGAAGGCGGCUUAAUGGACUGUAACUGACGUUGAGGCUCGAAAGCGUGGGGAGCAAACAGGAUUAGAUACCCGAGUAGUC